AUCUUUGCGCUUGGGGCAAUGACGCAGCUAGUGAGGUUCUAACCGAGGCGCGUCUAUUGCUGGUUGAAAACUAUUUCCAAACCCCCUCUUUGGCCUGGGUUCACCCUUGGCCGUGGAGAAUUUUUGGAAGGGCUCCCUUUGGGGUUUAAGCC
rnacentral:snRNA from 1 species